GCCGCCGUAGCCUAAUGGUUAUCGCGCUUGCCUUCCACGCGAAGGGCCAGGGUUCGAUUCCUGGCCGCGACU
rfam:Ixodes scapularis strain Wikel colony gcontig_1108378367918, whole genome shotgun sequence.